GACCUCCCAGAGAUGGCGGCAACAGGAUCGCUUCCGCCUUUACGUGCGCCCGGUAGGGGACGGACUUUCAAGAGACGCAUGCGUGUGGCGUCUCUUUGCCCCCUGCUCCCUCCUCCUUUUUCCCCCGCCUCCAUUUUGUUCGCGGACGCUGGGGACAGUGGGAGCACAUCCAUUUCCGGGUUGGCAAAAGGGGCGGCGGCGGUGAGAGAGGAAGCUUGCCGGGUCGCUAGCAGGUCCGGACGAAGCCGGAGCGGAGGUGGCGGAGGAUUCGCUCCCGGAGCAGCUGUGGCCGGGUUGGAAGGAGUCCAGGAAGGCUGGGUAUAUGAGUGACCUAAAGCUGCAACUUAAAACGGAGAGAGAGCAGUGCCAACUGCGAUCAGGGCAAGGAUGCCAAUUCCUCCCCCACCUCCACCGCCCCCUGGUCCUCCUCCACCUCCCACUUCUAAUCAGGCAAACACAGAGCAGCCCAAGCUGAGUAGAGAAGAGCAGCGGGGCAGAGGUGCCCUCUUACAGGACAUCUGCAAAGGGACCAAACUGAAGAAGGUGACCAACGUUAAUGAUCGGAGUGCUCCCGUCCUUGAGAAACCCAAAGGAAGCAGUGGUGGUUAUGGCUCUGGAGCAGCUGCCCUGCAGUCCAAGGGAGGUCUCUUCCAAGGAGGGGUGCCGAAGCUCCGACACGUGGGAGCCAAGGAUGGUUCAGAGAACCUAGCUGGUAAGCCAUCCCUACAAGUCUCCAGUUCUCGAGCUGCUGCACCAAGGCCACCAGUGUCUACAGCCAGUGGGCGCCCUCAAGAUGAUACAGACAGCAGCCGAGCCUCACUCCCAGAACUGCCCCGGAUGCAGAGACCCUCAUUACCAGACCUCUCUCGACCUAAUGCCACCAGCAGUACAGGCAUGAAGCACAGUUCCUCUGCCCCUCCUCCACCCCCUCCAGGGCGGCGUGCCAAUGCACCUGCUACCCCUCUACCUAUGCAUAGCAGCAAAGCCCCAGCCUACAACAGAGAGAAACCUUUGCCACCCACACCUGGACAAAGGCUUCACCCUGGUCGAGAGGGACAUCCUGCUCCACCCCCAGUCAAGCCACCUCCUUCCCCUGUGAAUAUCAGAACGGGACCAAGUGGCCAGACUCUGGCUCCUCCGCCGCCGCCUUACCGCCAGCCUCCUGGGGUCCCCAAUGGACCCUCCAGUCCCACCAAUGAAUCAGCCCCUGAGCUGCCACAGAGACACAAUUCUUUGCAUAGGAAGACAGCAGGGCCUGUCAGAGGCCUUGCACCUCCUCCACCCACCUCAGCGUCCCCCUCUUUACAGAGUAAUAGGCCACCUCCCCCAGCCCGAGAUCCUCCCAGCCGGGGAGCAGCUCCUCCACCACCACCACCCAUGAUCCGAAACGGUGCCAGGGAUGCUCCUCCUCCCCCACCACCAUACAGAAUGCAUGGCUCAGAACCCCUGAACCGAGGAAAGCCCCCGCCUCCGCCUUCGAGGACGCCAGCUGGGCCACCCCCUCCUCCUCCACCACCCCUAAGGAAUGGCCACAGAGAUUCUAUUACCACUGUCAGGUCUUUCUUGGAUGAUUUUGAGUCAAAGUAUUCUUUCCACCCAGUAGAAGACUUUCCUGCUCCAGAAGAAUAUAAACACUUCCAGAGAAUAUAUCCCAGCAAAACAACCCGAGCUGCCCGUGGAGCCCCACCUCUGCCACCUAUUCUCAGGUGAAGCCUGGCUUGGUCCUGUUCCUCAGGAAAAGGAUGGACCCUGUCCUCUUCUCAGAUGGUCCCUUCCGUCGCCUGAAACCUGCAUGAGAACUCCUAAUGUGUUUCUCCAGUGCAACAGCCUCUAGACUCCAAGCAUCCUCCCUGCUCACCUCCAUCUGUGCAUCUUUCUCUGGACUUAAUGAUUGGGCUCUUUAUAUUGGCAGUAGGGUCUCAGCCCCUACAUCCAUCCCUCCUCUAGCAAGCCCUACUAGCCAGAUGAGGAAGAAGCUUCCAUGUCUCCUGCUUUCCUCUGGGGGAAAGGUGCCUUGUGAUGAACUAACUCAUUGUUGGGGCAGGGUCGAGAAUGAUAUUGCUACUUUCUCCCCACUGUGAGGGGAGCUUGGCCAGGUAUAUUUCCUUAUUUAGAAGGUUGGCAUGGCCAGGACUUCUGUGGGGGUGGUAUUUUUAGUGAAACAGGAAAGGGGUUUGCAGAGAAGUGAUCUGUUUUAAAGGUCAAAUUUGGAGAAAGGGCAAGGAAAUGGUCUGCUUUACUUUAAGGGGUAUUUUGGUUUUGCUCUCACCCCAACUCAUGUCCCUGCCCAAAAGAUAAGUUGGAUAUAAACACUAAAUACUAAUCAGUUAUACUAAGUGUCUAAUAAAAAGAACAGGUGAAAUAAACCGGGGAUCCUUUUAGAGUUAGUCAGUUUCUCUGCACCAAAGGGACCAGGAGCCAUUUAUUCCUGUAAGGAUUCCCUGCCCCUGCUUCUUCAGGGUGUUGAGGCCGAGAAAUGUUUUUCCUCCCCCCACCACCCAUUCCCUCCAGAGAAAAGUCACUUUUAUUCAUUCAUUGCAGAUUCACAAAUUCCAAAAAUCUCCAGUGGGAGAUAGGAAGAUAGGGCCUUGGCUUUGAUACUAUUCCCUUUUUUGUGAUUCCAGUCUUUUCUGACUGGCCCUUUCAGCCCUAUCCAGAAACUGUAGCCCCUGAUGGGUGCUCUAGGAUGACAAAGAAGGGAAAGGUGAAGCACCUCAUGGAAGGGACCAGCUCUGUGGGCUAGGAAAGACUUCAAGGCCUGCUUGUUCCACAGUUCACAGCCCAUUUGACUAGCAGGCUCUUCCUGUUCCUUUCUCAACCACUCUUGCCUUCCCAAGAGUACAGGGUUAACACAGCAGAGUAGAGAAGGGUGAGGAAGCUAAUGGUAUUCCUCUGUGCCAAGAAGCAUGAAGACUUUGGUAAGGGGUGCCUCAGUCCCGUUGAUCUUCCUUGGCAGCCACCAAUAUGCUAUUUCUUCAUUUUCCAGGUCCUGGUUUAAAGAGCACAAGGCAAAUGGGAGUUCCCAAUCUAGGUAGGAACUGAGCUUGGAUGAUGGGAUAGGGACUUCCCCUUCUCCAGCAGCAGGUUGAGGCUCUUGAGCUCCACACACAGGAGGGUUUGGUUUGCUGUAGGUCUUGCCAACGCAGUGGCUGCUCAAAGCUUGGAAUGAGAACACAGAGAUCAUGGCUGUUCUUGAAAUGGAUGAGGAAAGUCAGUUAAAAUUUUUUGCCAGACUCAUCAGAGGUUUAAACUGUCAUAGGGACCUUUCCAAUCUAUUGGAUCACAGACUGAGGAUCUGUGCAUCGUGCCUAGUGAAACCUGUCUUACCAGUGCUAGAUGAGAGAGCUCUCAUGGGGUUGUUUGUAUGGGGUCUGCUGUCCUUUGCCAUCCCCUGGACCAUAUUGACUGUUGGGACAACCCAUAUUUAGGUUUGUCACCAGACUUUCCCUAAUCGUUAUCAUUCUUAUUUUCAAAUCUGUUAGCAAUUAUCUCCAGCAGUAUCCCCAGCAUCCUGAAGCCAUUAGAGCUGGGAGAGGGGAUGCUAGUGGAGGAAAAAGGAGAGUACAGGAGUUGAUAUUGCAGCAGAGUUCCAGGGUAGAUGCUGACCAGUUACUGAACUUGGACUGUGAAGUCUUCCCAUUUAUUUUUGAAAUGGGAGUUGAUGCCUUUUGUGUAAAUGAUAUCAAAGUGCAUCUUUUUUUUUUGUCUUUUACUCAAACAUAGAGCAUCAAAGUAAGCAUCAAGAGUAAAAACCAAACCCCAGCUUUUCACUGGAGCAGAUAUCUUCCUUGCCUAUGUCCUGCUGCCCCUCAUAUUCUCCAGCGUUUGGACUGUUUCACAUGGGUAUUGAUUAUAUUUUCAUUUUGUUGGCCUCAUGAAAAAAAAGGCCUGGGCCUAAAUCUAGUCAGAUGGAUUUUCUUCUUCAGAGCAUGUUGAUGACACAGUACCUAUUUAAAUGUCUUUGCCUUAUACAUUAUUUUGUCCCUUUGUUAAUAACAGAUUUAUUAUCAUGUAUAUUACUAUUGCAGAAUGGGAAUGUGAUCCUCAUAGUUAUUGAUCUAUUUUGUAUGUUGUAAAAAACACUUGUAAUAAUAGGUUUAAGGUGGGCUGGCUGCAAGAGCACUAAAACUUCUCACCUUUUAAUCUGCUCUUUUUAUCUGCUUGUGGGAAUGUCGUCUCUUCAAGGAAGACUGGGUGGUCUCAUGUUGAGGCUGUCCCCCAGUCCCAUUAACCCCCAUAUCCCCUCCCAGAAGGAAGAGACAUUGCCCAACUAAGCAUCAGGAAGCUGUGUUAAAAGCCCUUGUGUGGGUUUGGUUUUAUGUUUUUCUCUAGUGGGAAAAAUUUAGUAAUUUUUUUUUCACCCUUUCUGGGAAGCAGGGCAGUGGCCUCCAAGUUUUUAAAUGAGCUGACUGCCCCUCUUCUCUCUCUUCUCUGGUAACCAAACCUGGAUCAAAGUACUUUGAUAUUCCAGGUGUGGUUUUCUCCAUCAUGGGGAUCGCCUCCAGCUGCAGAGCCCCCAUCACUCUCAUAACCUGGGCCUGCAGAGUAAGAGCACUUAGGGCUGCCCUGCCUGAUGGAUGGGAGGCUGCUGUCUCCAGAAGUUCAUCCCACCCUGCUCGUCAGGCCACGGGGAGGCUAGCCAUUGGCCUUUGCCCUGGGGCAUCCCCUCACCCCAAUAGCUUCCCAACUUGAAACCCAGAUUUACCUCCAAGGAGAGGUGAGAAAAAAUUGUAAAUAGACUUGCUACAGAGCAACUCAGGCUUGGGGGGUGUAUUUUAAUUCUCCUGAUCACUUGAAAUAAUCUGUAGGCUGAGUGCAUAUGGGAGUAGGGGAGAAAUGUGACUCUAGGGUCCCUCCCUUAUGCAACGCUCUCGGGGUGGAGUAUAGGGCAUCUGAGGCCCUUUGAUGGCACUACACAGAGCUAGCUGUCCUUCUGGAAACCCAACCUACAAUCAACUACAAAUCAAAUUCUUCACAUUCCAGUUGUAGUCUUAUCUUUCCCUAUUGAAGAGUCCCUGGCUAUGUGGUCAAGGUGGCUUUAAUUAGGGAAUAGGAGGCAGUGCAACUCUGCCGUCAAGAGUCAUCUCUUAAAAGGAAAAUGAAGCAAAACUACAACCACCUUCAAAACACAGACAAAAGAGAGUAACUGUUUAACUGAAGGAAGGAUUUGGUUCCAUUCAACUCCACGUUCAUUGUGCCUUUACUUGUGUUAGAUUUCUGUGCUUUCUUCCACUCUAUUUGAAGCAAUUAAAAUCUUCCUUGAUAACUACUGUUUACUUCUUUCUGUUCUUGUUUCUUAACACGUUAUUGGGUUCCCUCUCUAAUUGUCUUAAAUCUCACUCCACUGGUGGAAGAGGAGCCAAGCCUUCUUUUCUCAUGUCAUACCUUUGUCCUUUUCCAUGGUAACCAGGUUGGAAGUCAUAGUCAACACUGAAUAAAAGACUAGAGUGAUGUGUGUGGAGAAAGUGUGUGUGUGUCCAUAUUCAUCUCUGCAUGUGGAUCAGUUUCUUUUAAAACAAUUAUUGUAUGAUAUAUUUUGGAGUUAAAUACUCUGAUUGCAGUGCUUCCAUCCCCAAUUAGCAUUGAUUUUUUUUUCCACUCUUCAGUAUAUAAUCUGGUCUCAAGUUGGAUUCUUUGGUACAUUUCUUUAUUCUGGAUGCCAUACAGUUUAAUCAAACCUUGCUUAAAAACAAAGCAAAACCAUAUACUCUUGUCUGGAAUACUGCUUUGAGUGGUGGCAUAGAUAGGGAUGUGUUGCCUAAGGUUAGUGUAGUGGAUUGACUCCAGGUCCUCUGAGAAAGUAGUUAUACUGACUUGGGUAAGAGCAUCUGCAGCUUCCCCAGGGUUUUCUCUCCUCCCUACUGCCGUGUUUUGAAAAUCACAGUUCUAGUUAGUCCUUCUGCCUGGGUGAUUCUAAUGAGUUGGUCGUUAUAUUUGCCACCUACCUCUCCCUUGCCCAGGACUUCAGGGAACCCAGGAGAUGCUCUGGCCUUGUGUUCUUUUCUUACGGCCUUUAGGAUUCUUUCUGUUGCCUAACAGAUUCUCACACUGAGGCAUGGAAGAAAAGGUGCAGGCAGAGCAUACAGACCGUGUGCAUCUAUUUUUAUGUGGGUGUUGUUGGCUUUUCUUCUUCACUGCUUUUUAAGUUGAAAUCUUGGCGCCUUUCCUGAACUUUGACUUGAGGUGUAAAAAUUGAACCAGAUAUUCUCAGCUUACUGUGGUCAGCUGACAAUCACCACUGAGACUUAAUGAGCUUAACUUGCACUUUCAUCACUAGCAACAGUCUUGAAAUUAUUUUCCAUGCUGAUUCAUAAUGGGUGUGUUUAUGAAUCACUCUCACAUAAUUUAGAUAUAAAAACCUAAAAGGGUGCUAGGAGGGAGGGGGAUUAAAAGGCUUUUCAUUUUCAUCCAUACUUACCAGAUUGACUGGAUUCCUGGUUAUUUGACCCAUCGUUGUUAUGAUUAAUAAAACUACCUAUUUAUUGA